GCACCGGUAGCCUUGUGGUUAGAGCUUCCGUCUCGAAUGCGGGAGGUAUUGGGUUCGAUCCCCCGCCGAUUCA